UACGUAGGGGGCAAGCGUUGUCCGGAAUCAUUGGGCGUAAAGAGCGUGUAGGUGGCUCGGUAAGUCCGCUGUAAAAGUCCAGGGCUCAACCCUGGAAAGCCGGUGGAAACUGUCGAGCUAGAGUCCGGAAGAGGCGAGUGGAAUUCCUGGUGUAGCGGUGAAAUGCGCAGAUAUUACGAAGAACGCCAAUGGCGAAGGCAGCUUGCUGGGCCACUCCUGACACUGAGGUACGAAAGCGUGGGGAGCGAACAGG
rnacentral:rRNA from 1 species